UACGUAGGGUGCGAGCGUUAAUCGGAAUUACUGGGCGUAAAGCGUGCGCAGGCGGUUUUGUAAGCCAGAUGUGAAAUCCCCGGGCUUAACCUGGGAAUGGCAUUUGGGACUGCAAGGCUCGAGUGCGGCAGAGGAGACUGGAAUUCCUGGUGUAGCGGUGGAAUGCGCAGAUAUCAGGAGGAACACCGAUGGCGAAGGCAGUUCUCUGGGCCGUAACUGACGCUGAGGAGCGAAAGCGUGGGGAGCGAACAGG
rnacentral:rRNA from 1 species